UGUCUCUGCACAGACCCAAAACCAAAAACCCUAAGCUCUCCCCCAAAAUCGAAAAUGUCGAAGCUCCUCAUAUUCCUAACCCUAAUUCCUCUCCUCCCAAUUCUCAUCACCUCCUUCUCUCCCGAAAACCCUUCGAGUCGCCGAGUCCUCGUCUUGCUCGACUACCUCACCCUCAAAUCCUCGCACUCCGUCUUCUUCAACUCCCUCCAGUCUCGUGGAUUCGACCUCGAUUUCAAUCUCAGUUGAGACGAAUGGAGGUUUUGGAGGAUCCAUUGAUUUGGCAGCUAUACUGGAUUUUGUUGAUUCAGGUCAUGAUUUGAUUAUUGUGGCUGAUUCUAAUGCAUCUGAUUUGAUCUGAGAAAUUUCCACUGAGAGUGGAGUUGAUUUUGAGGCGGUGCUUAUUGUCCAUUCCAAGUGGCUGGCUUCUGCUACUGUUAUGAUUCAGACAAGCAGUAGCAUGCAACAAGGGGACUCUAAUCUAGCGAAGGAUGAUAAUGAUGAUAAACAUCAUCAAUUUAGCAUGAGUAAUAGUUGGAGUGGCUCCUUUGAAAGGUUACCGUUGGUAAGUAGUUGAUUAUUAUUAGAAUUCAGCCAAAUUCCUAGUUUUAAGGUAGAGUUAUCCGAUUGAGUUAUUAUUAGAUUAUUAUUUGUUCAGUUAUCUUCUAUUUUUUUUUAAUUAUAAAUUUUUAGUUAUUAUCAUUUUUUGUCAUUGUAAUUCAGUUGAU